AGAGUUUGAUCCUGGCUCAGAGCGAACGCUGGCGGCAGGCCUAACACAUGCAAGUCGAACGAACCCUUCGGGGUGAGUGGCGGACGGGUGAGUAACACGUGGGAACGUACCCUUUGGUUCGGAACAACACAGGGAAACUUGUGCUAAUACCGGAUGUGCCCUUCGGGGGAAAGAUUUAUCGCCAUUGGAGCGGCCCGCGUUGGAUUAGCUAGUUGGUGGGGUAAAGGCCCACCAAGGCUCCGAUCCAUAGCUGGUCUGAGAGGAUGAUCAGCCACACUGGGACUGAGACACGGCCCAGACUCCUACGGGAGGCAGCAGUGGGGAAUCUUGCGCAAUGGGCGAAAGCCUGACGCAGCCAUGCCGCGUGAAUGAUGAAGGUCUUAGGAUUGUAAAAUUCUUUCAGCAGGGACGAUAAUGACGGUACCUGCAGAAGAAGCCCCGGCUAACUUCGUGCCAGCAGCCGCGGUAAUACGAAGGGGGCUAGCGUUGCUCGGAUUUACUGGGCGUAAAGGGCGCGUAGGCGGAUCAGCAAGUUAGGGGUGAAAGCCCGGGGCUCAACCUCGGAACUGCCCUUAAAACUGUUGAUCUUGAGUAUGAGAGAGGUGUGUGGAACUCCGAGUGUAGAGGUGAAAUUCGUAGAUAUUCGGAAGAACACCAGUGGCGAAGGCGACACACUGGCUCAUUACUGACGCUGAGGCGCGAAAGCGUGGGGAGCAAACAGGAUUAGAUACCCUAGUAGUCC
rnacentral:rRNA from 1 species